GCAGCCGCGGUAAUAGGUAUGGGCGCAAGCGCAUCCCGAAAUAUGGCGUAAAGAGCUCGUAGACGGGUUGUCGCGUCUGGGUGUGAAAAGGGAGGCUCAAACCUCCAGCCUGCAGUGGGUACGGGCAGACUAGAGUGCGGUAGGGGAGAUUGGAAUUCCUGGUGUAGCGUGGAAUGCGCAGAUAUCAGGAGGAACACCGAUGGGAAGGCAGAUCUUUGGGCCGUAACUGACGUGAGGAGCGAAAGGGUGGGGAGCAAAACAGGGUUUAGAUACCCUGGUAGUCCACCCCCGUAAACGUUGGGAACUAGUUGUGGGGACCAUUCCACGGUUUCCGUGACGCAGCUAACGCAUUAAGUUCCCCGCCUGGGGAGUACGGCCGCAAGGCUAAAACUCAAAGGAAUUGACGGGGACCCGCACAAGCGGCGGAGCAUGCGGAUUAAUUCGAUGCAACGCGAAGAACCUUACCAAGGCUUGACAUAUACGAGAACGCUGCAGAAAUGUAGAACUCUUUGGACACUCGUAUACAGGUGGUGCAUGGUUGUCGUCAGCUCGUGUCGUGAGAUGUUGGGUUAAGUCCCGCAACGAGCGCAACCCUCGUUCUAUGUUGCCAGCACGUAAUGGUGGGAACUCAUGGGAUACUGCCGGGGUCAACUCGGAGGAAGGUGGGGAUGACGUCAAAUCAUCAUGCCCCUUAUGUCUUGGGCUUCACGCAUGCUACAAUGGCCGGUACAAAGGGCUGCAAUACCGUGAGGUGGAGCGAAUCCCAAAAAGCCGGUCCCAGUUCGGAUUGAGGUCUGCAACUCGACCUCAUGAAGUCGGAGUCGCUAGUAAUCGCAGAUCAGCAACGCUGCGGUGAAUACGUUCCCGGGUCUUGUACACACCGCCCGUCAAGUCAUGAAAGUCGGUAACACCUGAAGCCGGUGAGUAACUGCUCACCUGGUCAGGGCAUUAAUGAAACCCCCCCCUG
rnacentral:rRNA from 1 species